rnacentral:sRNA from 1 species
UGUUGUAGGCUUGGCAUUCUCUAGCCUU